rnacentral:rRNA from 1 species
CACGUAGGGGACGAGCGUUGUCCGGAAUCAUUGGGCGUAAAGCGCGCGUAGGCGGCCCGGAAAGUCGGAUGUGAAAUCCCGGGGCUCAACCCCGGGCCUGCAUCCGAUACUCCCGGGCUGGAGGCAGGUAGGGGAGAUCGGAAUUCCGUGGUGUAGCGGUGAAAUGCGCAGAUAUCAGGAGGAACACCGGUGGCGAAGGCGGAUCUCUGGGCCUUGCCUGACGCUGAGGCGCGAAAGCUAGGGGAGCGAACAGG